GCAUCAGCAGCUCCAUGCUCCAGCGCUCUGGGAGAGUUUAUAGUCCUGACAUUUGAACACUGGAUGACUGACAGCUGUCCUUCAUCACAACUGAAGACACAGAAAUCCUCCUCAUCAAAAACAUGACUUUGAUCUGCGUCCUCAUCUGGACUCUCCUCUGCUGCUGCUUCACAGAGGUGAGAGGUCAGAUCACAGUAACUCAGCAGCCUGCAGCAGUGAGAGCUGAUCUGGGAAGAUCUGCCACCAUCACCUGUAGGACCAGUCAGAAUGUUUAUAACAACAACUACUUACACUGGUACCAACAGAAAGAUGGACAAACUCCUAAGCUCCUCAUUUAUACCACCAGCACUAAAGCAUCAGGGACUCCAAGUCGUUUUUCAGGCAGUGGCUCAAACUCUGACUUCACUCUGACCAUCAGUGGAGUUCAGGCUGAAGAUGCUGCAGUUUACUACUGUCAGAGUUUUCAUUACCCCAACAGCCAGUACGUGUUCACACAGUGAAAAACAGUCAUACAAAAACCUCCCUCAGUCAAACUGAACAGAAACUGAACUGCAGCUGCACAGAUUUGUCACUGACAUAUGUAAAUGUAUGUUACUGGAAAGAAAAGCUGUUGUAGAAAAUGUAAAUUGAUAUUCCAUUUUCUACAACAGAUAUUGUCAUUCCUCAUCCAUAUUCUAUGCUCAU